UCCAGUCGAGAAACAAUGAAGGGCAAGAU
rnacentral:piRNA from 1 species